UACGUAGGGGGCGAGCGUUGUCCGGAGUUACUGGCGUAAGCGCACGCAGGCGGUCUGUUAAGUUUGGAGUGACAGUUGGUGGCUUAACUGCCAAAGUGCUUCGAAACUGACAGACUUGAGGGCUUCAGAGGGACACGGAAUCCGGGUGGAGUGGUGAAAUGCGUAGAGAUCCGGAGGAACACCAAAGGCGAAGGCAGUGUCCUGGGGAGUACCUGACGCCUCAGGUGC
rnacentral:rRNA from 1 species